UUUAUUGUCAUCCCUGCAACGCACCCCAACUGCUUCCUCGCUCACUUGCUCUGGCUCUCGGCCAUUGUUCCUCGGCGCAGCGGCCAACCGGUGAUCGAAUCGACCCCGAAGGUUUUGUUGGGUACAGAUGGUAUGAUUUUCCUUGCUUGACUUUUAUUAUAUGGAGAAUUUGGAAGGACACGUCUUCAUAUGCAGGUGAGGAUUGUUGGAUCGUGUGGUACCCACCUACAUGACUCUCUCUCUCUCUCUCUCUGAGAAAUUCUCGUUUGAGUCCCCUUUUCAGUCAUGUUUGAGUUGAUAAAUACAGGUGCUCAAGAGGUUAUGUAGCCUUCUCUUCAUUUUUCAGAAUAAAACAGGUUAUGUAGUCUUCAUUUUACUUCAAUUGGUAGUUAUUUUAGAGGGGCUUUGUUUAGUUAGAUGUUGAUGACUAAUUUUAGCUUAGUCAUAGCCUUUGCUUUGUACAUUCUGAACUGCAAAUGGCGAUGCAGGCCCUCUUUUGAUUUAUCAGGUGAUUGAAGAAGCUAGCUAAUUUGAUUGUGUGAUCCCAUUUUCUGGACUUUAUGGUGCUCUGCUUCCUUGGAUGGUUUUUCGAUGGUCUGGUUGCCGGGAUAUUAAUUGAUCUUUAAUAUAGUAGGACUUUUCAAUUUCCUCUGAUCAAUAUAGAUCUCCACAACUCAACUUAUUCCACAGGGUUCUAGUUGUACAUUACUACUGUCUGGUAUUCGAAGGAAAGCUUAUUACAAUGAGGAUUUUCCUGACUAGCUCUGGUCCUUCAGAUCUGCGUGCACUCCUAUGGAAGUUCCGUUUAUUGUGGCGAUACUCUCCUGUAGUGUUGAGGACUGGGAGUUAGUAACCCUUUAACAAGAAGUGGAAUAAUGCUUUCCUGGUGGGCUCCUUAUUAGAGGGCCUUGUGAGAUCCAAUUGAGUUUCCAAUGAGCAAUUGGCUUUUGCAUUGGUGUGAUCAUUAAUUCAAAAUCAAGGGGCCUGAUGUUGUGAGAUGAGAUAGUUAUCACCCUCUGUGGAGAUGCAUGUGGUCCUGAUUGUAGGAUACAUCCGAUUGUCUAGCUAUGACUUCUCAAACCAUUGUUCAUCAGAUUUUGGCUAAACUAAUGUUGCAAUAGCGUUUUCUCUUAGCUUGAUGAUGGUUGUAUCCAGGAAGUCCAGUUGAUCAUGUUCACAAGGCUCCGCCUUUCUAGGAGUUUCUCCGUCUGUUUGUAUUAGUAAACACACAUGCUUGAAGAAAAGAUAGUGAUCACCCUGGCUCUGUUGGUGGGCUUUUUGAUGGUUGUUUUGUAAAUAUUGGAGAGACAUGUACUUUAUACUAUGUGCUCCUCAUGGAGAAUAGAUGUAACAAUCUUACAGGGACUGAAAAUGUGAGCAGUAUUUGGAAAUUUUGUUAUACUC